UGGCUCGUCUUCCUCCUUCAUUUCACUCAGCCAUUUCCCCACCCAGCAAAAACCAGAGAGAAAAAAACCCAGCAAAAACCCUCGCCGAACAAGCUUCUUUCAACCAUAUCUCCCCCAUUUCUCAACCAUUUCAGCCCAUUUUUUUUUUAAAAUCCUACAUUUUCGAUACUUAAUAACAUACACCUAAAAAGUUUUGAUUUUUUAGCCUCUAAAAGUGUCAUCCGAACCCAAAUAGUAAAUUUUGGGUGUGAAAUCCGGCCACCCAUUUUUGUUGAGAAAUUGUUCAAUCUCAACCUCGUUUAAGGUAUAAAUAUUGCUUCUAUUCUUAUUGUAUUAUGUAUAUUGUUUUAUUUUUUGUUUUUGUAAAUUAUUAUUUGAGUUUUUUUAUUUUAUUAGUAAUAUUAUUGUGUUUUAUGUGUAUAGUGUCGGGAUUUUUUACGGUGGUCGUCGGAUUGCGGUUAUUAGGUAAUAAUUUAUACCACAAUGUAUAGUAUAUAUAUGUAUUUGUAUAUUUUAUUGAAUAUUUGUAUAUAAUGUGUGUAUAUAUUGUGUGUGUGUAUAUAGUGUGUGUAUAUUUUUUAUGAAAAUAAAUUUUGUAAUUGUAUUUUAUAUAUUUUUUGCAAUAAAUAUUUAUUCUGAUUAAAAUGACAUUGGAGGGAUUUCAUUAGUUUAGAAAUAAAAAUUUUAAAAUUGAAUUAGUGUGUGAUAUAAUUUUAUUUUUUUGAGAUAAUAGUGUGAGAUAUAAUUGAUUAUAUAUAUGUAUGUAUAAUUUAGUAACUAAGUAACUUGUUACAAUUUUUUAUAACUAGUUAUAAGUUAUGAAAUAAUUAAUUUUGUAAUUUCGUUGUAUUUCUUUAUAUUAUAGGGGUUCGGCAUAAUUUUGUGUGUAGCGUAUUUGGGCUUGCAAUUAUAGGUAUAUACUUUUACUAACUUUUUCUUAAUAUAUAAUUAAUUAUCAAUGCAUGUUAGUUGAGUUUGAAUAUCUUAAAUAUUCAUCCGUAGUGAAGUAGGUUCUGCGAAUACAUGUACUGCGGUCGGAUGGGUGGAUUAAUUUUGUAUUGUUUAUCUGUUUUGUUUGUUAUUUUAGGCACUUGUAAAAUUUUUGGGAACGUCCAAUUACAGCCGUUAUGCUGCCGAAAUUUCGGUAGAAUUAGGAUAAAUCUUACUAAAACCAUUCAUAAUAUAGUUAAUUAUAACAUAGUAAUAAGAAGUUAGGUCACAUAAAAAAUAAUAAUAUUCACAUUUAUGUAAACUUUUUAAUUUUACCAACAUUCUAAUCAACUAAACAACCUAAUAACAUGAACUAAUGUAAAACGAAAAUUUGAGUAAUUUUUAGAUUAAUAUGAAUAAAUUGUGUGAGAAACUUAGUUAGUUACAUUGUGUAAUUAGUAACUAGAUAUAAUUAGUUACUAAAUAAAUUAACAAAAUAAACAUAUAAAAUCCUUCUUUUUUUAUUUUUUUUUCUUUCAUUUGAGAGGUUCAAUGUGGAUUUUUAUUUUUCAAAGAAAAUAAAGAGCAAAAGUUAAUUAAAAGGGGAAAAUAUUAGUUAAUACCUUUAUUGCUUUACCAAAAAAAUUUCCCCUCAAUUUUAUUUAUUAAAAAUAUUUAACAUUUUAAUAACAUUCUAAUCAACAAAACAACCUAAUAAUAUGAACUAAUCUAAAACGAGAAUUUGAGUAAUUUAUAAAUUAAUAUGAAUAAAUUGUGAGAAACUUAGUUAGUUACAUUGUGUAAUUAGUAACUAGCUAUAAGUAGUUACUAAAUACUGAAUUUUUUUGGAUAGGAUUUUUGUUAUGGAUAAAUCAUGGAUGCGUAAGGAGAGAGACACACUGCGAUUUCAAGUAGGGUUCGAUGCAUUUUUAGAGUUUGCCUUAAAGAAUUCUACAAAUCACGAUCGUAUUCAUUGUCCGUGUGUAGAUUGUUGUAAUGUAUCUAAAGGGAAUAUUACAAUGAUUAAGGACCAUGUGUAUUUACGAGGUUUCAAUAGAAGUUAUACUAAUUGGUAUUACCAUGGUGAACGUGUACCAGAUGUUCCUUCCUUGGCCUAAACACUUAAUUUUAACAACCGAGGUAACUUCUCAACUGAAAUUAAUUAUUAAUGAUUAGUGGAGUUUGAAUAUCUUCAAUAUUCAUCCGUAGUGAAGUAGGUUCUGCGAAUAUAUGUGCUGCGGUGGGAUGGAUGAACAAACUACUGUUAUAUAUGUGUUAUUUGUCGUUAUACAGCCAUGUUCAAAAUUUUUGGGGUCAUUCAAUUACAACCGUUAUGCUGCCGAAAUUUCGGUAGAAUUUAGAUAAAAUUUGAUAUAUAUAUAUAUAUGAUGUUCUGUUUUGUUUAGGGUCCACUCGCUCAACCGCCCUCAAGACGUGAUGCGUCAAAGGGGAAAGCUCCGAUGCUUUCUCCACAAAGCCGUGGUGAACGGGAAGAUGAGUUGUUCACGGAAGAGAAGAUGGCGUUGAUCCCUAAUUCGCUAAAAUGGAUGAUUCAUGAAUUCCUAAGGCUCAAAGAUAAACGUGAUAUAAUCACAAUUUCUGUCCCCCGAGGAUUCAUUGCACCGCGUACCCAGAUCAUUUUAUCUGGAGAGGAUUUGCAGCAGGUUGCUACGUGUAACUACAUCGGCAACCAGGGAAUGCUGUUUGGAAUGAUGCACAUAUGGGAGAGCAUCAACGGUCUGAGAAAAAUUUUCAAGUUUUACGACUCAGAGCUUCUCACAGUGCAUGGGAUCAACGAUGAAGAACAGAGUCAGUCUUUUGACAAUGCGGCAAGACGAUUGGCUAAUUGGUUAUCAUUAAUGAACAGCAACCACCAAAUGUUCUUUAUUCCUUGGAAUAUCGGGUAAACUUUAUUAAAUUCUUUAGUGCUAAUUGUUCAUUUCUAUAUUAUGUCUUCAAAUUAUUUUUAUACUAUCUUACUUAUAUUCCAAUAUAAUUUUCUAGGAUGCAUUGGACGCUAGUGGUGGUUGCGCCAAGGAAAAUUAUCCAUUUAAACCCUGUAAAAGGCCGCCCAAUUCCCGAAGAAAUAGAACAAAUGAUCGGAAGGUAAUAAUUUAAUGACUUCUUAUGUAACGAAUUUAAAUUAACUAACGAAUUGAAAUGCUAAUAUAAUUUUCCCAAACAGGGCAUUCAUGUAUAUAGGGGACGCACAUCAGUAUCUUGGCCCGUGGCAAGGAAUUUCACAAGCAAACUGUCCAAGACAACCUAAAAGCCAAGAAUGCGGUUUUUAUGUUUUGAAAUAUAUCACUGACAUCGUCGCACGUGCCAACCCCAACCGUUACAUACAAGAUCAAAAAGCUUUUGGGGGUAAGAAGCAAUACGAUCCAAAAACAGAAUUGUUACCACUACAGCGAAAGUGGAUCGAACAAUUGAUGGCAGUGAUUCACGGUGACGAUUGAGGUUCAAAGGUCGAAGAAUUUUUCUUCAUUAUGUAAUUUUUAUAGAUUAACUUGUAAUUAGAUUUAUUAACUUAUUAAUAUUUUUAACUAAUUUUACAUGUUUGUGUAAGAUUUAAUUACUUUUAUGAAAUCAAAUUAUGUUUUUACCCAAAUUUAAUUACUAUUUAAUUUAAAAUGUAAUUAAUAUAUAAUUAAAUUAAAUAAAUAUGUAAUUUAAAAUUUAAAUAAAUAUGUAAUUUAAAUUAAAUAAAAUAAUAUAUAAAUUAAUAAAUAUAAAAUUAAAAUAAUAUAAUUAAAUUUAAAAAAAAUGAGGAAAACUGAAAUUCGCCUACAUAUGGCGUCGGUUCCUACGCCAUAUAUGGCGUCGGUUAUUGGCUAGGAACCGAUGCCAUAUGUACCCUUAUGGCGUCGGUUCCCAGCUAAUAACCGACGCCAUAGGGGUAUAUAUGGCGUCGGUUCAUAUAAACCCUUUAGCGUCGCCCUGAUCAGCGUCGGUAGCGAAUUUCGCGAAAACCGACGCCUAAAGGGCUUAAAAACCGCCUCUAAAGGGUGUUUUUGUAGUAGUGAACAUAUUUAAAUCAUCAAGCUUUCUUAAACAAUAAUAUAUUGCAUUCGGUAUUAACUUUUAAUUGACAACAUUAUAAACUAUAAUAUUUAGAUACACAUAAUAAUAAUCUCACCUAAUAACUAAUAAUAUUUUUUCUUUAAUUUUUAAUUGUAUCACUUUCAACUAACAUAGAAAAAAAUUAGCAUAAAAUUUAGUAUACGUGCCUCGCACGUAGCU